GUGGGGAAUAUUGGACAAUGGGCGCAAGCCUGAUCCAGCCAUACCGCGUGGGUGAAGAAGGCCUUCGGGUUGUAAAGCCCUUUUGUUGGGAAAGAAAUCCUGUCGGUUAAUACCUGGCGGGGAUGACGGUACCCAAAGAAUAAGCACCGGCUAACUUCGUGCCAGCAGCCGCGGUAAUACGAAGGGUGCAAGCGUUACUCGGAAUUACUGGGCGUAAAGCGUGCGUAGGUGGUGGUUUAAGUCCGUUGUGAAAGCCCUGGGCUCAACCUGGGAAUUGCAGUGGAUACUGGAUCACUAGAGUGUGGUAGAGGGAUGCGGAAUUUCUGGUGUAGCAGUGAAAUGCGUAGAGAUCAGAAGGAACAUCCGUGGCGAAGGCGGCAUCCUGGGCCAACACUGACACUGAGGCACGAAAGCGUGGGGAGCAAACAGGAUUAGAUACCCUGGUAGUCC
rnacentral:rRNA from 1 species